GAUACCGUGGUAAUUCUAGAGCUAAUACAUGAGCAAUAUCUCAACUAUUUUGGAAGAGAUGCAUUUAUUAGAUAAAAAACCAAUACAUACUUUUUCAAGUAUGAAAGUUGGUGAUUUACAAUAACUUAGCAAAUCGCAUAGUGAAAACAGGCGAUAAAUCAUUCAAGUUUCUGACCUAUCAGCUUUCGACGGUAUGGUAUUGGCUUACCGUGGCAGUGACGGUUAACGGGGGAUUAGGGUUCGAUUCCGGAGAGGGAGCCUGAGAAACGGCUACCACAUCUAAGGAAGGCAGCAGGCGCGCAAAUUACCCAAUUCUAACAGCAUAAGAGAGGUAGUGACAAGAAAUAACAAUACAAGGCAGUUAAAAUGCUUUGUAAUUGGAAUGAUAGAAAUUUAAACACUUUUUAAAGUAUCAAUUGGAGGGCAAGUCUGGUGCCAGCAGCCGCGGUAAUUCCAGCUCCAAUAGCGUAUAUUAAAAUUGUUGCAGUUAAAAAGCUCGUAGUUGAAUUUCUGUUAAAAAUAACCGGUCUGCUUUUAUUAAAAGUGGUAUCUUGGUGUGUUUUUAGCAAUAAUGUCCUUUGAAAUGUUUUUUACUUUAUUGUAAUAAAUAAUAUUCAGGAUUUUUACUUUGAGAAAAUUAGAGUGUUUCUAGCAGGCUAACGCUUUGAAUACUGCAGCAUGGAAUAAUAAAAUAGGAUUUUAGUUCUACAUUAUUGGUUUUAAGAACUAAAUUAAUGAUUGAUAGGGACAGUUGGGGGGCAUUUGUAUUUAACUGUCAGAGGUGAAAUUCUUAGAUUUGUUAAAGACAAACUACUGCGAAAGCAUUUGCCAAAGAUGUUUUCAUUAAUCAAGAACGAA
rnacentral:rRNA from 1 species